GACGUAGGUGGCGAACGUUAUCCGGAAUUAUUGGGCGUAAAGGGUGCGUAGGUGGCCUGACAAGUUAUCAGUGGUAAAUCGAGGCUCAACCUCGCGGAAACUGGUAAUACUGUCCGGCUUGAGUGCAGGAGAGGUUAAUGGAACUCUAUGUGGAGCGGUAAAAUGCACAGAUAUAUAGAUGAACAUCAAUAACGGCGAAGGCAGUUAACUAUUCUGUCACUGACACUGAGGCACGAAAGCGUGGGGAGCGAACAGG
rnacentral:rRNA from 1 species